GAAAUGUAAAACUACUUCCGGUAUUUUCGGUCUGAACGAUUUAUAUGUGGUUAUUUCCCUCGUUUGACCAAUAUUCAGAUGUACAUAAGAAAGAAAAUGAAAUCAUGAAGGACAUCUUCAGGUAUUUAAAUGAUUGGAACUUAUGAAAUAUAAACUACAGCAUCAUCCUCUUCUGUUACCAUGGCAACUAUAGCAGCAGUGGUUGAGAAGUACGACUUUGUGCGAUGCACAGAACAAGAUGAGGAACAAUUCAAUUCAGAUUUGAAUGAAAUUGAAGUGGAUCAAGUUUCAAAAGAUCAGGUUUUAAAAGACAUUGCAGCCUUGGUCCCUCAAGUAUCAUCUCCACACUUUCCACUAAAUUGGACCCCUUGUGUCAAUAUGGUAAAUGCUACAAUUGAAAAGAUCUGCUAUGUUCCAAGUUGGAAUGAAGAUGUUGAUAUGGAAAAGUUUUACCAUGAAUUCUAUGGGGUUUAUCUAUGUUGUCUUCAAGGUCUCCCAUCUGGAUCACCUACAAGUGGACAUAUCGCCAUCAUGGACACGAUUCGCAACUCUAAAGAUAUGAUGGAUGAGUUCUUUCAAAAACUGUCUGGCUCUGACCUUAAAGGUCUUCUAUCACAUUACAAGAAAGAUUAUGUGAUUCCUCCUAUUGAGACAGACCAUCAUUCCUACGCAUAUGAUCUUGCUAGUCAUAUAGAACGAAUCCUCAAAGACCUUGGAGAGGAUCAGUUAAAAGAUGUGAAACUAGAGCUAUUAGACUUCUGGCUUUUCUGUAAAUCUAAACUGAUGGGCGACAAUGAACAUAUACACUUAAUUUACGACAACUUGGGAGACUGCCUGGAAAGUCUGUUAAAGCAGGAUACUGACAAAGUAUUUGAGGAGCUGCCUAGCUAUGCUGGAGUUCUUGAGCAAUGGAAGGCUAUGAAGGUUUUAAUAGAGCACCCCAAGUUCCCAGAGAAUAAAACCAGUGACCUUCUGGAUGAGGCUUUUUACCUGUUCAACGUGGAUGAAUGCUCUAAAGCAAUGUUCUCUGACUUGAUGCAGUGUACAUUUCACUGGUAUGCAUUUGAGACUAAAGAUCUGGCAUCCCAGGCAUAUGACAUCAGUAAUUUUAUCAUUGACUCCGAGCUAGGUGUAUUUCUAAAGGAUCCAACUCAUAUAAUUGAUACAUACUGCCCCAAAGUGUUGGAGCUUCUGAAGAAUCCUAAAAUCCUGGACACCAAAAAGGACAAAACUGGAUUUCGAAUUGUUGAUCAGACAGUAUAUUCUGUGCUUAAACCAUGCUGCAAGACAAAAGCAGAUUGUGAGAAGAUGUUAGAAAUAGUGAUGGCCAUGUUGGAAACAGGGAAAGAAGAUUUUAUCAAGAAAGGGGAAAAUUUAAUAUACGAUUUAGAGGAAACCAUAGACUGGAAGCAACUCAAGGAUUCAGCCAACAAGUUGCUCAUGACAUGUGUUGCUAAAUUCAAAACUGAGAUGGAGGAAAAGGAUUGUAAAUCACUGCAACAUUUUGCCAAAAAGAUCUUAGACUAUCACAAGGACAAUAAAAUUUUGAAGAAUAUCAGUGGUUCAGUGUUGGAAAUUUUCUACUUGUGCCUUGAGACCCCAAAUGACAUGAGAGCUGAUCUUGCAGAGGAGACUGUAGACUACUUUGAUAUAAAGAGUGAGAAGGCCAAGCUUGGUGAACUGUGGGAUGCCAUGGUCAAAGGCAUCUGGAAUGAAGACGAUGGAUUUGAUAAGUCACAUUGGAAAUACACAAGAUUCGUGGAGUAUACGUUGCGGCUAAUAAACAAGUUCAUCAGUGAAAAUGGCGUGGCUGCGAAAUAUGUGGAUACAUUCACUGAUACAUUGAAGAAGUGCGUCAACGAGGAGUUGUUUGAUGAAGAGGAGAGAUUCACUGCUAAGGGACAUAUGGCGCAUGAGAUAGCAUAUGAAUACUUGGAUAAUAACAGAGAAAGCAAGAAGAUUGUCAAGGCGAUGGCAGAUACUGUUGUGUUGCUAUGCCAACAUGAUGAUUUCAAAACUAAACUACGUUUCCUACCAACUUUACAUAACUUACAAAGUUUCCCAGAAUUCCUAUCCCCACACGUCGACACAAUAAUUGACAUGUUAGAGGAAGUUAGUUCUAAGGAUGAUGCAAUGCAUCACAUUGUAAGCAUAUUGACUAUAAUCUACCCAAAGGCAUCUGAUGGUAUCAACAGACGUCUAGAUGAUAUUGUUCCCCUUAUAGAAGACAUGAGUCCAUCUAAAAGUGCCCAUAUACUUGUUCUUCUAAUGCCUAUAGCGACCAGUGCUCCACAGUUCAUACUGGAGUCCCACUUAGAGUUGGUCAUGGAGCGACUGGACUACUCUGAGACAUCAGGAGUGGCUAUCCAUAUUGCCUCAGGGGUGGCUGCGAAACAAGGCAAGAGACUCCUUCCCUAUAUAGAUAGGCUUGUUGCACUAGCUGGUGAGAACACCAACUACACGUACAAUGUGGGCAACUGUAUAGCCUCAGUUGGAGUGGAUGUUAAGGAGUCUGCCCCGAGAUGCAUGGACAAUCUUGUCACACUGUUCAAGAAAUCUGUUCCCCAGUGGAAAAAUGGGCUCCUUGCCUGCAUGAAGACAUUGGGGCUUCAGAAUAAAGACCUCUUAGUAAAGCACAAAACAAUGAUAGAGCAGACUAAACAGGACCCCCAAUUCCAAGAGAUGUGUCAGUAUUUGCUGGAUAUUAUAGCUGAAAGGAGUCUUGAAGGACUAUCCAAUGACCUUUCCCAGCAGAAAGAUGAUGUUGAAAAGCUGGACACAAGAGUUGACGAAACUGAGCAGAAUGUUGCCAAUUUGGCAGUGGAGGUGGAUGAGCAAGGUAAAGAACUACAGGAGACCAAGGAAGAUGUUGCCAAAGUAGAAGAGAGAGUGGAUAAUGUGGAAAACACUGUUGAAGAACUGGAGGAGAAAGUGGAAGAAGUUGAUCAAAAGACUCUAUCCAAUGCCCCAGCAUGGUCUAAAGAAGUAUCAAAACUUCUGAACCCUGAAACAGACCAUGAUUGGCGAUUACUAUCCAGUAGAUUAGGUUACAGUAAGGAAGAUAUCAAGAACUGGGCAACACAGCAUGACCCGUGUAUGUCAAUGUUAAGUGAAUGGUUUGCGACACACAAGACUAGCGAGGCCACCUAUGGAGUGUUGAGAGCACUAACUGAGAUGAAUCGUACUGAUGCUGUAGAAAUUGUACAGAAGGCUUUAGAUGAUGCAGAUGAGAUCCUACCUGAUGAGCCCGAAGAGUUUACAGAGCCACCUGCUGUCUUCAUCUCGUACCAGUGGGGUCACCAGGCAGAGGUCAAGCUACUGAAGCUUCAUCUAGAGGCAGCUGGGUUCAAAUGCUGGAUGGAUAUUGGACAGAUGGGAGGUGGCGAUAAAUUGUUCCAGAAAAUUGAUCAGGGAAUCCGAGCUGCUAAAGUCAUAAUUUGUUGCGUAUCUAAGAAAUAUUCCAAAUCAGACAACUGUACUAGAGAGGUGAACCUGUCUGUCAACCUGGGAAAACCAAUUAUUCCAUUAUUAAUGGAGAAACUGUCUUGGCCACCAGAGGGUGCCAUGGGUCCCAUAUUUGGGGAAUAUCUAUUUGUACGCUUUUUCCAAAGAGAGGCUGAGUUGACGAAGGAUGAGAGAUUCUGGCCAGUUGCAAAGUUUCAGGAGUUGAUUAUGCAAUUGAGAUUUCACAUAGUUCCUGAUGAGUCUAUGGUGACAGAAGACUACAAGGAAUGGUGGAAUCCUCCUGCUGAGGUGAUUGUUAUUAAGAAGAAGGAAGAUAAACCUGAAGAGACGAAAGCAGAACCCAAACUAGCCCCAGCACAACCUGUAGAGGAAAAGCCUGAGCCAAGCAGAGCUCCUCCAGUGUUUAUAUCCUACCAAUGGGGCAAGCAGCCUCAGAUCAAAGCCCUCUAUGGGAGACUAACUGACCUGGGAUUCCCUUGCUGGAUGGAUAUACAUCAGAUGGGAGGGGGAGACUCUCUCUAUGAUAAGAUUGAUAAAGGAGUCCGGGGAUGUGAUGUAGUCAUAUCUUGCAUCACAACAAAGUAUGCCAAGUCUGCCAACUGUCGCCGUGAAGUGAGUCUUGCUGAUGCCCUCCAGAAACCUAUCAUCCCCAUACAACUUGAUGAAACUCCUUAUCCCCCUGAGGGCCCCAUGAGCAUGGUCCUUACCCAGCUGAUUCCAAUACUAUUCACGCGUGACCCACAGGUUCAAUUUGAAUGGACAGGUCUGGAAUUUGACGAACUUCAUGGAAAGCUAAAACUUCAUGUCAAAGCAGAGGAUAUGAUUGAUGGGGUUGAUGGUGAUGCUAACAGAGGAGGUGAUAAAGAAGAUGUUAAGAAGGAAGAGCCGAAAGUCAAAGAGGAUCUAAAGAAGGAGGAGUCUCAUCCCAAAGAAGAUCCAAAGGAGGACCCUAAAGUGAAAGAAGUAGAAGAUGCUAAUGCUGUCGAAGAUAAAGAUGUUAAACCUCAAGAAACUCGGGACAAUGAUUUUAAAAAUGAUGACAAAACAGAAAAUGAUGCUAAAAGUGAGAAUAGUGCAACCCCAAGGGGAAAUAGUGCAUCAAAGAGAGGAAAUAGUGCAACAUCUAGGGUAAAAAGUGCACCAAGAGGCCAAAGUGCACAUGAAAGGGGAAAUAGUGCAUCUGAUAAAGGAAAAAGUACAAGUUCAAAGGAACAUAAUUCUGCAAAUGGAAGUACAGUGUCACUCAAACCAAGUGAAGGGCGGAAGCCAAGUAAAACCUGUGUGCUUUUGUGAUUUUCAACUAAAAUGUUCGUUUUUAUAUCAAUUUAUCUCUGAUUUUUUAGACAUAUCAAUACAGACAGUGUAUUUACAAAAUACAAAGCAGAAAUGUUCAUAAUACAAAAUGAUACAAUAUACUAGUAAUUCAGAUUAUUGAUGAUUGUUGACAACUAUUUAACAAAAUGAAACUCACUAUCAAUCUUUGAAACUAUAUGUUUAUAAUAUAAAAUAUUUCUAAAUGUCACUAACAUUUUUCCAUUUUCCUCUGACAGCUCACACCACUUAGUAUAGAUUGCGAAACAGAUUAUUGUAAUAAGAAUGUUUCUGUAGUGUAUUAUGUUGUUUCCCAAAGGCCAACCAAUGAUUAGAUGUUUAUGAUGUGACAGUUUUACUGAUUUUUUUCCCAAAUUGCGGUUACCUUUUUACAUUCAAAAUGCAAAUGCUUUGAGGUAUUGGAUGCAGUUACAUAUGGAGCAAGAACUUUGACAGUUACUGUUCCACUAGAGACCAGAUUUCCACAUGCAAGUAAAUUGUUCAAAAUUUUUGUCGGUCGAUAUUGUUCCAGAUUUUGUUAUUAUCUUAAAUAUUGAAUUCCUUGUUCCAUUUUUGUUUCAACUAAAUGUAUUUUGAACUUUAUGAGCCAGUAUAUAAACUAGAUUUUUUUAAUUAUCUAAAUGAGUGAAAUUUUUGUAAUGCUUUGUAAAUAACCUAAAGUUAUUUGCAAAUAUAAGUUUUGUUCAUUGAGAUUUUCUUUGUUGAUUUGCCAUUUUUAGUUGUUUUAUGUGCCAAUGACAAUCAAUACCAAAUAUGUAUAUGAUAUUAACUAUAUAUCUGUUGUAGUCACAUGAUAUUACGACUCAGGACUCUAGUUAGCUUGAUGAAAGAAGAUUUAUUUUUUAUAAAAACCUGUAUUAUAUAAUUAAUUUCCUGCUGUUCUAGCUUUUUAGCGAUAUUAUACGUUCUCUUUAGAGAAGACGAAGUGGAAUAGUUCAGGCUACUAUACAGGGUUGCUAUUCAUACUUUAUGUCAUAAUUGCCUCCAGUUAUUUUUAUAUCAUAAUUAUAAAGUUAAGUAUAGUAUUCCAUAUAACAUAAUUCCGUCCAAUUAUUUAUCUAUUGUAUUAUAUAUUAUGUAAAAUUUUGAUUACUGCAUGUAUUUGUAUUUUGGUGAAUCAUGUGAAUGUUAUUUUCUUUUAUUAUACAAGUUUUAUUAUACAUUGUACUUGCAUAAAGUAUACUAUACAAUAACAUUUUUAUAAUAUAUUGUACCUGAAUAAAAU
rnacentral:misc_RNA from 1 species